AGCACUUUUUAAAACAGGUGCUGACAGAUGUAAGUCCGACGUGCCCGUUUCGACGGCACGGCCUCAAAACAUCAGGCUUUGGGAUUAC
rnacentral:ncRNA from 1 species